rnacentral:rRNA from 1 species
CAAUAGCGUAUAUUUAAGUUGUUGCAGUUAAAAAGCUCGUAGUUGGAUUUCGGUUAAGAGCGACCGGUCCGCCGUUUGGUGUGCACUGGUUGGUUUUAACUUCCUGUAGAGGACGUGCUCUGGGUUUAACGACCUGGACUCGGAGUCUACGUGGUUACUUUGAAAAAAUUAGAGUGUUCAAAGCGGGCUUACGCUUGAAUAUUUCAGCAUGGAAUAACACUAUAGGACUCCUGUCCUAUUUCGUUGGUCUCGGGACGGGAGUAAUGAUUAAGAGGAACAGUUGGGGGCAUUCGUAUUUCAUUGUCAGAGGUGAAAUUCUUGGAUUUGUUAAGGACGGACUACUGCGAAAGCAUCUGCCAUGGAUGUUUUCAUUGA